rnacentral:rRNA from 1 species
CCCGCUGAACUUAAGCCUAUCAGUAAGCGGAGGAAAAGAAACUAACAAGGAUUCCCUUAGUAGCGGCGAGCGAAGAGGGAGUAGCCCAUAACCGAAUCCCAUGGCGUGACGUCAUUGGGAAAUGUGGUGUUGGGGUGGUUUCUUCUUGUGCACUUCAUCCAGAGUCCUAAGUCCACGUGAUUGUGGCUCAUUCCCCAGAGAGGGUGUAAGGCCCGUUAGGACUGCAAGUGUGUGACGCGAAGCUACUCAAGAGUCGGUUUGCUUGGGAAUGCAGACCAAAUCGGGUGGUAAACUCCAUCCAAGGCUACAUAUAACACGAUUCCGAUAGCGAACAAGUACCGUGAGGGAAAGUAGUGUGUUGCUGUGUAUGGCGAGGUAAGCCCCAUUGCUCGCGGGCGCAUACGCAUGCUUGCGUUGGUGUACGCGGCGAGGCACUCAUUGCCGAUUGUUUUGUUGUGUUGCAUUAAUGUUGAGUGUCUCUCUAUGCAUUACCUCAAUAAUCUGUGGUGUGUUGUAGGCCAUCCACCUGUCCCGUCUUGAAACACGG